rnacentral:rRNA from 1 species
CCUACGGGAGGCAGCAGUGAGGAAUAUUGGUCAAUGGGCGGAAGCCUGAACCAGCCAAGUAGCGUGCAGGAUGACGGCCCUACGGGUUGUAAACUGCUGUUAUACGGGAAUAACGCGCCUUACGUGUAGGGCUUUGCAUGUACCGUAUGAAUAAGGACCGGCUAAUUCCGUGCCAGCAGCCGCGGUAAGACGGAAGGUCCGGGCGUUAUCCGGAGUUAUUGGGUUUCAAGGGAGCGUAGGCCGCAUGUCAAGCGUGCGGUGAAAUGUCCGGGCUCACCCCGGGCCUUGCAGCGCGAACUGGCGUGCUUGAGUCCGCGGCACGCCGGCGGAAUUCGUCGUGUAGCGGU